AUUGAACGCUGGCGGCAUGCCUUACACAUGCAAGUCGAACGGCAGCACGGGGGCAACCCUGGUGGCGAGUGGCGAACGGGUGAGUAAUGCAUCGGAACGUGCCCAGUAGUGGGGGAUAACCAGUCGAAAGACUGGCUAAUACCGCAUACGACCCAAGGGUGAAAGCGGGGGACCGUAAGGCCUCGCGCUAUUGGAGCGGCCGAUGUCUGAUUAGCUAGUUGGCGGGGUAAGAGCCCACCAAGGCGACGAUCAGUAGCUGGUCUGAGAGGACGACCAGCCACACUGGGACUGAGACACGGCCCAGACUCCUACGGGAGGCAGCAGUGGGGAAUUUUGGACAAUGGGCGCAAGCCUGAUCCAGCCAUGCCGCGUGCGGGAAGAAGGCCUUCGGGUUGUAAACCGCUUUUGGCAGGAACGAAACGGCGCAAGCCAAUACCUUGCGCUAAUGACGGUACCUGCAGAAUAAGCACCGGCUAACUACGUGCCAGCCGCCGCAGUAACAC
rnacentral:rRNA from 1 species